AUGGAGUUGGGGCUGAUCUGGAAUUUCCUUGUUGCUUUUUUAAAAGGUGUCCAGUGUGAGGUGCAGCUGGUGGAGUCUUGGGGAGGCUUGGUGCAGCCUGGAGGGACCCUGAAACUCUCCAGUGCAGCCUCUGGAUUCACUUUCAGUGAUUACUGUAUGCACUGGGUCCAUGAGGCUCCAGGGAAAGGGCUGGAGUGGGUUGGAAAAAUUAACCCCAGAGGUGAUAACACAUACUACACAGAUGCAGUGAAGGGGAGAUUCACCGUCUCCAGAGACAAUGCCAAGUGCCAGGUGUAUCUGCAAAUGAAAAGGCUGGAAGCAGAGGACCCAGCUGUGUAUUACUGUGCAAGACAUUUUGAGUUCUGGGGACAGGGUCUAUGA